AUGUGUGGAUACGGUUGAGCCCAUCAUGGGACCUGUGGUGAUUGCUUCACUUCACUCUGGGCAAUCUAGUCUUCACCAACUCAAAGUUAUCACCACAUGAAGUCUUCUCUACGUCUGUGUCUGCUGCUAUUGCUGGCUCCAUCUCUCUUUCAACAUGGGGAACGAUAGAAAGAGGAAGUGAUUUUUUGGGAUUGAGAAAGCUAGAGGGAGGAGACUUGGAAGGGUGUGAUGGGCCGGUUUAGGAAGUCUGGGUUUUGCCAAUUGUUAGGGAUUUGCUGCUCGUAAUUGCUUUUUUUUAUUUCUGUGAUUACCGUGUUCUUUUUGUCUCUUUGCAUGACCUAUACAGCGUCAUCAGUUAGAGGGAGAAGAAUGUUGGGCCGGCCUUUGAAAGCUCUUUGGUGGGCUGAUCCAUUUUGCUUACUCGAAUAAAUAUUAAGUUCGUUAUUUUCUAAGGAAA